AGUGAACGCUGGCGGUAGGCCUAACACAUGCAAGUCGGACGGCAGCACAGGAGAGCUUGCUCUCUGGUGGCGAGUGGCGGACGGGUGAGGAAUACAUCGGAAUCUACUCUGUCGUGGGGGAUAACGUAGGGAAACUUACGCUAAUACCGCAUACGACCUACGGGUGAAAGCAGGGGACCUUCGGGCCUUGCGCGAUUGAAUGAGCCGAUGUCGGAUUAGCUAGUUGGCGGGGUAAAGGCCCACCAAGGCGACGAUCCGUAGCUGGUCUGAGAGGAUGAUCAGCCACACUGGAACUGAGACACGGUCCAGACUCCUACGGGAGGCAGCAGUGGGGAAUAUUGGACAAUGGGCGCAAGCCUGAUCCAGCCAUACCGCGUGGGUGAAGAAGGCCUUCGGGUUGUAAAGCCCUUUUGUUGGGAAAGAAAUCCAGCUGGCUAAUACCCGGUUGGGAUGACGGUACCCAAAGAAUAAGCACCGGCUAACUUCGUGCCAGCCGCCGCCGUGA
rnacentral:rRNA from 1 species